CGUGAGGCGGGCUCUCGGCCGAGUCACGUGGGGCGGUGCGCGCAGAGUGCGGCUGCGCCGGCCGGUAGCUGCAGCUGGAGCGGUGGCGUUUGGAGGAGACUCGAAACUGGAUGGCUUCUACAGGGAGCCAGGCCUCUGAUAUAGACAAGAUUCUUGGAUUCUUCAGUGAUGGCGCACCCCCCACCAAAAAGCCCAGGAAGCUGCUUCCAAGCUUAAAAACUAAGAAGCCCCGGGAGCUCGUGCUGGUGAUCGGAACAGGCAUUAGUGCUGCAGUUGCCCCUCAGGUUCCAGCCCUAAAGUCCUGGAAGGGGUUAAUUCAGGCCUUACUGGAUGCUGCCAUUGAUUUUGAUCUUCUAGAAGAUGAGGAAAGCAGAAAAUUUCAGAAAUGUCUCCAUGAAGACAAAAACCUUGUCCAUGUUGCCCAUGACCUUAUCCAGAAACUCUCUCCUAGAACUAGUAAUGUUCGAUCCACAUUUUUCAAAGACUGUUUAUAUGAAGUAUUUGAUGACUUGGAGUCAAAGAUGGAAGAUUCUGGAAAACAACUCCUUCAGUCAGUUCUCCACCUGAUGGAAAAUGGAGCCCUCGUAUUAACUACAAAUUUUGAUAAUCUCCUGGAACUGUAUGCAGCUGAUCAGGGAAAACAACUCGAAUCCCUUGACCUUACUGAUGAGAAAAAGGUUCUAGAGUGGGCUCAGGAGAAGCGGAAGCUGAGCGUCUUACACAUCCAUGGAGUCUACACCAAUCCUAGUGGCAUUGUCCUGCACCCAGCAGGGUAUCAGAAUGUGCUCAGGAACACUGAAGUUAUGAGAGAGAUUCAGAAACUGUAUGAGAACAAGUCAUUUCUUUUCCUGGGCUGUGGCUGGACUGUGGAUGAUACCACUUUCCAAGCCCUUUUUCUGGAGGCUGUGAAGCAUAAAUCUGACUUAGAACAUUUCAUGCUGGUUCGGAGAGGAGAUGUGGAUGAGUUCAAGAAGCUUCGAGAAAACAUGCUGGACAAAGGAAUUAAGGUCAUCUCCUAUGGAAAUGAAUAUGCUGAUCUCCCAGAAUAUUUCAGGCGACUGACAUGUGAGAUCUCCACGAGGGGUAGAUCAGGGAUGCAUUUUCUGCUGUCCUGCCAUGCUUCAGAUUCUUCUGUUGUUGGCCCACACUUAGGACUUUUCAGUAGGCUUUUCCACUGAGCAUAUUGUAUUGUCAUCAAACAAGAGCAGGGAUGGUGAGAGAAGGUCAGCUCAAUGGCUCGUCCACAGCACACAGUGAAAUAAGAGACUGUAGAACAUGAGAGGGCUAGAGAGCUCAUCACCAUUAGACCAAACCGUCAGGCCUGACUGUGGAGAGUAUUUAACAAGUAAACUUACAAGAACCCAACACAGCUCCGUGGAAGUACCAAAACCCAGCGGUUGAAGGUUGGGGGUGGGGGAGAGUUGGGGGUAGGGGGUGUUCCAGCUCAAUCCUUCAUGCCCACUGGUUCUUGAUCUUCUGCGUCCUAUUCCAGUUCAAGAAUCCCCAAGUGACAGUGGGACCCAAUGCAGCUCCCCCACCCCUGGGUGGACAUGCCUGUGUCCACACAGCAGGUCAGUGCAACACCUCCACUGACCGUGGCUACAGCCCUGCAUGAAGGACUUGGGAUCUGGAUGCCGUGGGACCACCAUGGCCCUUGUUGCAGUUUUGUACUCUAUACUUGGUUUUUCAAUUAAGCUCAAUGGCUUUUUUAAAACAUGACUCGAAGCUCUAGUUUUCUAGACCUUUUACAGUGUACAGUAUUUUACAUAACUGAGCUGUAUUAAAAGCUUGUUCAUUUA